ensembl:lncRNA
GCAAGCAGCAGCGGCCGCAUCGUUUCAACGACAGGACUAUUCUUCAAGAAGAAACUAGGCUAAAUGUUAAUUCAUAUAUUUUACAAUGGACCUACUACAAUAUGAACACUUCCUCCAGUAGUGCAGCUAUAAUGGUUUUAUUAAAUACAAAUCCAACUGGUCGACGGGACAGAAAGGGAUUCGUCUAUCAAGACAGCAAUUGUCUCUCUACACUCCGGCAAAGGCAUCCAGGCAGCCAACGUUAAGAGGGACAGCAUCGGACUGGAGUAAACCACAUCAUGUCUACCAGCUUACUCAGUCAGCCUCAACGCAAGAGGGCCAGCUUCUUCAAGAUCAAAUGCAACCUGGAGCUCUUAUUGGAUGAGGAUGUGUUCUUAGUCGUGGUCUGUGCGCUGUUA